rnacentral:lncRNA from 1 species
AAUAGGUCAAACUGUUAUGUAUGUGGUAGUGCCAGACCUCAUCUAGGAACUGUACCUUUACAUGUCCCUGAUGAGUACUGGGAAUGUUUCCUAAGUUUGUUUUCAGGUAUCACUGUUAAUACUACAGGAUGUGAAGAAUGGAAAAAGGGUCACCCUAUUGGUGAACCCAAGUUUAAUUUAAAUGAUGUUGUCCCAGUAUAUCCUGGUAAUUAUACUUGUUUUCAGGGAAAUAAUAAUGGUAAGGUGGGUACACAAUUUGAUAACUUCUCUUCAGGAUUCUGUACCUUAGUGAAUCAAACACAAUCUGUGGGAGAUGUUUAUUGAAUAUGUGGCGAUAUGAAAAUACGUUCUAGACUCCCCACCCCUUGGAGAGGAGAAUGUGCCCCAGCCAAAAUAAUCAUGCCCCUCCAUAUAUUUAGCGACUCUCUCCCUGAAAUUAAGGUUGUAACUGAUUCCACAAGAAGGAAAAGGAAAUCCCCACAAGGUAGUUUCGACCCACAUAUCUAUCUAGAUGCCAUUGGUAUUCCAAGAGGGGUUCCUAAUGAAUUUAAAGCUAGAGAUGAGGUGGCAGCAGGAUAUGAAUCAAUAUUUCCCAUUAUAACAGCUAACAAGAAUGUUAACUGGAUUAAUUAUAUAUAUUAUAAUCAGCAAAGAUUUGUAAAUUAUACACGAGAUGCAUUACAAGGUCUUGCUGAACAAUUACAGGCUACCUCACAAAUGACUUUCCAGAAUAGAAUGGCCCUUGAUAUGAUUUUAGCAGAAAAGGGAGGAGUCUGUAAAUUACUUGACUCCGGUGUUUGUUGUACCUAUAUUGCAGAGAACACUGGCCCUAAUGGUAAAGUAACCCUAGCUAUAAAGAAAUUAGAAGACCUGUCCAUAGAAAUGAAGAGGAAUUCAGGUAUUGAUCACCCAUGGGCAGAUAUGUUUAAGUUUGACAGUAUCCUAGACUAGCUAAAGAAUAUUGCAAUAAUUAUUGUUAUGGUUCUGAUCCUUGCUCUACUUGUUUAUGCUAUUUUCAAGAUUAUUGUAUUCUGCAUUUACAAACAUACACGCAACACUGUUCCUGUAAAAUCCCCAGCUUGAUAUGAUGAGUAUCUCAAAAUGUAUACACAUAACCGAAGCAAUGGUGAACAUACUGAUACAGAUCUAUAAGUUUGUGGUACUGGUCAGAUGCCUAGUCCUAUGCUAUGGGAAUAGUGGCCGAAGACAUAAUGAAAGACCUGCAG